ACUUUUCUAGAGACUAUCUCACCACGACAAAUACAUAUGACUUUUCUAGAAUCAGCGGUCCUAACAUAAAUAAAUUAUCCCUAUCCAUUGGUUUCCAUCGCUUUUAUCAGAACACUUCCAUACUCUGCAACAGAUCAAAAACCAUUCUCAUCGGGGUCUUCCACUUUAGUUUCUGCUCUUCGUUGUAACAUCUCUUUGUUCGUGGAUAUCUGUAAUAUUUCAUUGUGUGACAUGGAGAUAGAUGAAAUAAAAGAAUACCAAUCUGCCAAGUGGGUGUCACCACCUGAGGCUGCAUGGAGAAUAUUCACUUUUCCUAUCAGUGAAAUGACUCCCAAGUGUAUACCAUCUUCAACUACAUCUUGAAGGACAACAAUUUGUUUCCUUCAAAAGUAUAGACAAUAUUAGUAAAAUUGUAAAUAAUCCCAUGAUUGAAAAAAUAAUGUUAACUGAGUUUUUUUUUAAUGAAUAGAGUAAACAAAGAUGCUAUGGA